AACCAGACUCCUACGGGAGGCAGCAGUGGGGAAUAUUGGGCAAUGGGCGCAAGCCUGACCCAGCAACGCCGCGUGAAGGAAGAAGGCCUUCGGGUUGUAAACUUCUUUUCUAUAGGACGAAGAAGUGACGGUACUAUAGGAAUAAGCCACGGCUAACUACGUGCCAGCAGCCGCGGUAAUACGUAGGGAGCAAGCGUUGUCCGGAAUUACUGGGCGUAAAGGGCGCGUAGGUGGGCGCUUAAGUCAGGUGUGAAAACUCCGGGCUCAACCUGGAGACUGCACUUGAAACUGGGUGUCUUGAGGGCAGGAGAGGAAAGUGGAAUUCCUAGUGUAGCGGUGAAAUGCGUAGAUAUUAGGAGGAACACCAGUGGCGAAGGCGACUUUCUGGACUGUACCUGACGCUGAGGCGCGAAAGCGUGGGGAGCAAACAGGAUUAGAUACCCUAGUA
rnacentral:rRNA from 1 species